AGAGUUUGAUCCUGGCUCAGGACGAACGCUGGCGGCGUGCCUAACACAUGCAAGUCGAGCGAAUGAAGUUCCUUCGGGAACGGAUUUAGCGGCGGACGGGUGAGUAACACGUGGGCAACCUGCCUUAUAGAGGGGAAUAGCCUUCCGAAAGGGAGAUUAAUACCGCAUAAGAUUGUAGUACCGCAUGGUACAGCAAUUAAAGGAGCAAUCCGCUAUGAGAUGGGCCCGCGGCGCAUUAGCUAGUUGGUGAGGUAACGGCUCACCAAGGCGACGAUGCGUAGCCGACCUGAGAGGGUGAUCGGCCACAUUGGGACUGAGACACGGCCCACACUCCUACGGGAGGCAGCAGUGAGGAAUAUUGGACAAUGGAUGGAAAUCUGAUCCAGCCAUGCCGCGUGCAGGAAGACGGCCUUAUGGGUUGUAAACUGCUUUUAUACGGGAGCAAUAAGGGUUACGAGUAAUCCGAUGAGAGUACUGUAUGAAUAAGGAUCGGCUAACUCCGUGCCAGCAGCCGCGGUAAUACGGAGGAUCCGAGCGUUAUCCGGAAUUAUUGGGUUUAAAGGGUGCGUAGGCGGCCAUUUAAGUCAGCGGUGAAAUUUUGCAGCUUAACUGUAACAGUGCCGUUGAUACUGUUUGGCUAGGAUUUGGUUGUAGUGUGCGGAAUGUGUGGUGUAGCGGUGAAAUGCUUAGAUAUCACACAGAACACCGAUUGCGAAGGCAGCACACUAAGUCAUUAUUGACGCUGAGGCACGAAAGUGUGGGGAUCAAACAGGAUUAGAUACCCUGGUAGUCCACGCCGUAAACGAAGAGUGGUAAGUAUCGGUAGAAUCGGGGCCUUAGCUAACGCAGUAAGCACUCCGCCUGGGGAGUACGGUCGCAAGGCUGAAACUCAAAAGAAUUGACGGGGACUCGCACAAGCGGUGGAGCAUGCGGUUUAAUUCGAUGCAACGCGAAGAACCUUACCAGGUCUUGACAGUGUAAAGAAUACUUAAGAGAUUAAGGGCUAAGAAUUAAGCUUGCUUAUUUCACUUUAUAAACAGGUGGUGCAUGGUUGUCGUCAGCUCGUGUCGUGAGAUGUUGGGUUAAGUCUCGCAACGAGCGCAACCCUUAUUGCUAGUUGCCAUCAUUAAGUUGGGCACUCUAGCAAGACUGCCGGUGACAAAUCGGAUGAAGGUGGGGAUGACGUCAAAUCAUCAUGCCCCUUAUGAGCUGGGCUACACACGUGCUACAAUGGACGGUACAACGGGUAGCGAGGGCGCGAGCCUUAGCAAAUCCUAAUAAGCCGUUCUCAGUUCGGAUUGUUCUCUGCAACUCGAGAGCAUGAAGCCGGAAUCGCUAGUAAUCGCGGAUCAGAAUGCCGCGGUGAAUACGUUCCCGGGUCUUGCACUCACCGCCCGUCA
rnacentral:rRNA from 1 species